rnacentral:rRNA from 1 species
CCUACGGGGGGCAGCAGUGGGGAAUAUUGGACAAUGGGGGCAACCCUGAUCCAGCCAUGCCGCGUGUGUGAAGAAGGCCCUCGGGUUGUAAAGCACUUUCAGUGAGGAAGAACGCCUGGUGGUUAAUACCCAUCAGGAAAGACAUCACUCACAGAAGAAGCACCGGCUAACUCCGUGCCAGCAGCCGCGGUAAUACGGAGGGUGCGAGCGUUAAUCGGAAUUACUGGGCGUAAAGCGCGCGUAGGUGGCUUGAUAAGCCGGUUGUGAAAGCCCCGGGCUCAACCUGGGAACGGCAUCCGGAACUGUCAAGCUAGAGUGCAGGAGAGGAAGGUAGAAUUCCCGGUGUAGCGGUGAAAUGCGUAGAGAUCGGGAGGAAUAACAGUGGCGAAGGCGGCCUUCUGGACUGACACUGACACUGAGGUGCGAAAGCGUGGGUAGCAAACAGGAUUAGAUACCCUUGUAGUC